GGCGGACGGGUGAGUAAUGCGUAGGAAUUUACCUCAAAGCGGGGGAUAGCCCGGAGAAAUCCGGAUUAAUACCGCAUGUGCUCUACGGAGGAAAGCGGGCCUCUACUUGUAAGCUCGCACUUUGAGAUAAGCCUACGUCGGAUUAGCUUGUUGGUGGGGUAAAAGCCUACCAAGGCGACGAUCCGUAGCUGGUUUGAGAGGAUGAUCAGCCACACUGGGACUGAGACACGGCCCAG
rnacentral:rRNA from 1 species